AUCAUAGAAGAAGAGUUCGUCUGAUAAAAAUUUUAUAUUUCGAUGUUAAAUUGACGGAGAAUUACAAGUUUGACAAACGAGUUUUUCAUAGCGUCCUAACCCAGUUCUAAACUACAGGGCUCAUAGUAGUGCUAGGUUCCUAACUAGCACCAUUUAUAAAAGGAAAGGAAAGCUCUUUUGUCAGGCUUGUCAUUCUCCUUUGCUGGCAUCGAAUGACAACGCCGGUGAUCGGAUCUGACCGCGAUUUGAUCGGUAGCUGCCGGCCUCCGUAGUUGGUUUCUGAAAACUAUGAAAACCCUAAUUACCUAUUCUACUUUGUUGGCAUGAAACGACAAACGCCCGAUGACUGGAUCCUCUCGCGACUGAGUUCGACAACGGAACAGCGGCUUGAUUCGAGCUGGUAUCUUGGAACUAUGGAAAUCAUAAUAUAUUUUCUAAUUUAACUGAGGUUUUUCGAAAUUAAAAUUCUUCCCUCUAUUAGACUUUUCCUAUACAUAUUAGGUUUCGCUUGUCUAUUGGGAUAUCCUGUAUUAAAUCUGAUGACACGACCUUUAUCGAGCAGUAUGUUCGAAUUUAAAGCCUGUCCUUGGAAUUUAUUUUAAUUUACAUAUUUAGAUCUCUUUUCUCGUCGAUGUUAUAAUUCCUUCUAUGAGGUACAUAUGCUUUAACAUUCUGUUUAAAAAAUGGAUGUGUUUCUUCUUCCCAACGUAUGCUUGCUUCUCCUUAUUUUUUUCCAUUUCCGACACAGAUGCAAAACAAGAUUUGGCUUGUUUAUGCCCAAAUAAACACGUGCAUGAUGGCAAUCAUUCUUGUCCGAAAUAGUGGUUGACGUGUAAAAUAAAGAUGAAUUGAUGUAUCUAUACUGAUUUUAACUUUAUGUUGCUUCCUCCAAUUGCUCCUUGUAUAAUUUGGGGGAUGCAUGUUUUGGCAUUAAGCUGAAGUUUACUGUCAUGGAAGGUUUUUAGUUCAUUUGCAAGCUGGCAUCAGCAGGAGAAAAUUGGUCUCUGCUUUCUUCGAGGCCAGUUAAAUGACUACAUCAGAGUAUUGAAUUCCAGGAAGUUAGAAAACGUGAAAGAGAAUUUGACGCAAGCACAGUUAAUGCAUGGGCGCGAUAAGAUUUAAUAUGUUAUAUUGGAGUCUUUUGACAAUUGCUGUCAAGCGGGUUUUGGUAUUUACAGUUAUUCACGUUGCUAUUUAUGGGCCUGUUUUAACUACUUUGGCAGUCAGUCCUAUAUAGCAUUCCCCGGAGAGCCUUUUUUCGCUGUAAUGCCAAACUUGAUCUAUGUUUUGUAAUUUUCCUGCAAUGAAGUCUCUCAUCUCUGUAUAUCUCGUCUAAAGCAUUGAAAAUUCUUGAUGAUUGAUAUCUCUGUUUUGUUGGA